rnacentral:tRNA from 1 species
GCCCGUGUGGCGCAGUGGUUAGCGUUCUUGUCUUGUAAACAAGGGGUCCCAGGUUCAAUCCCUGGUGCGGGCA